GUGGAAGCAGCGGUGGAGGAAAAGGAGGUAGCCAACACUGUUUAUAUAUAUCUAUUUUUUACUUUAAUUGGGGUAGCCCCCAAAAUAUAAGUUGCACAGGCACUUUGUUGACUCUAGAGAACCUCGGGCCAAUUGCACAUCCCCGUGACGGCGACUUUGCAUUCGGAUGUCAUCCAUUUCAACUUUCGAUGCCAGUUUCUGCGCCUACCAUGGUGACCACGGGUAACGGGGAAUCAGGGUUUCAAUUCCAUACAGGGACCCUGAGAAACGGCUACCACAUGUAAGGAAGGCAGCAGGCGCGCAAAUGACCCACUCCCGAUGUGGGAAGGUAGUGAC